UGAUACUAGAAACUUCAACUUGGACUCUCCACUCUUCCUCCAGCCUCUGUGACCUUGAUUUCCACAUGAAGUGUAAAGUUUCAUCUGAAAAGAGGACUUUGGAUAACUGCAACAGACCAGUCGUUUUCCUUUAGCCCAGGUAAGAUGUGAUGCUGUCUCUGGUUCAGAAGUGGGUUAGAACGAGUGCGACAGUUGUAUAGCCCAUGUCUUGAAUGUGUCUGUUGUGCUCCUUACCCAAAGUCUUAAAUGGACUUCACUUCAAAAUCCCCAUAAAGGUUGUCAAUGACCUUCAGACAGUAGUCAAGUCAACAGUCUUCCCUAUGACUGAAUAAAACAUGCAGUGCUUUGGAGAUGAACAAUCUGCUUGAAGCUACAUGAAACCAGAUGCCUUAGUGAGAAAUGAAAAGGAUGGAGGCUCUCCCAUGCCUACAGUAUUGUCUCCCAGCUUUCACUUCUUCAGUGUAUUAACAUUCCCUUUGCAGGCCCUGCUUAGAGAAUGGGUCUGAUAGCUCAGUAAGGGGGAGAUAAAUUGUUGGAUAUUUCUGUUAUGACUGGUAAAUGUGUCAAUUCUGUUUUUUUUAUUUAUUUAUUGAGAUGCAGCAACAUAUCGGAUAUCUGAAAGGGAAAACUAAGGAAACAUGUUCUGUCAAAGCCUGCAGGAAUUACACAGUAAAUAAGUUGUAGAGACCAAAAAGGACUGCAACUCGUAGAAAAAAAUGGAAAUGUAACAUUUCAUGUAAAUAUGCAUUGUCCAAAAAAGAAAACUGACAGUAAAUUGUUUAAUCAAACCAA